CAGCAGCCGCGGUAAUACGAAGGGGGCUAGCGUUGUUCGGAUUUACUGGGCGUAAAGCGCACGUAGGCGGACUUUUAAGUCAGGGGUGAAAUCCCGGGGCUCAACCCCGGAACUGCCUUUGAUACUGGAAGUCUUGAGUAUGGUAGAGGUGAGUGGAAUUCCGAGUGUAGAGGUGAAAUUCGUAGAUAUUCGGAGGAACACCAGUGGCGAAGGCGGCUCACUGGACCAUUACUGACGCUGAGGUGCGAAAGCGUGGGGAGCGAACAGGAUUAGAUACCCGCGUAGUCCCUGUCUCUUAUAA
rnacentral:rRNA from 1 species